rnacentral:tRNA from 1 species
GGAGGGAUGGCCGAGUGGUUUAAGGCGGCGGUCUUGAAAACCGUUGACCCGAAAGGGUCCGGGAGUUCGAAUCUCUCUCCCUCCGCCA